rnacentral:snRNA from 2 species
GUGCUCGCUUCGGCAGCACAUAUACUAAAAUUGGAACGAUAGAGAGAAGAUUAGCAUGGCCCUUGUGCGAGGAUGACACACAUUCAUGAAACAUUCCAUAUUUAA